UACGAAGGGGGCGAGCGUUGUUCGGAUUUACUGGACGUAAAGGGCGCGCAGGCGGUCUUGAAAGUCAGGCGUGAAAGCCCCGGGCUUAACCUGGGAAUUGCGCUUGAUACUCUGAGACUGGAGUACGGGAGAGGAGAGUGGAAUUCCCAGUGUAGAGGUGAAAUUCGUAGAUAUUGGGAAGAACACCAGUGGCGAAGGCGGCUCUCUGGACCGUAACUGACGCUGAGGCGCGAAAGCGUGGGGAGCAAACAGG
rnacentral:rRNA from 1 species